UGGGGAAUAUUGGACAAUGGGGGAAACCCUGAUCCAGCAAUGCCGCGUGUGUGAAGAAGGCCUGCGGGUUGUAAAGCACUUUCGGUUGGGAGGACUGCUUCUAGCACUAAUAUUGUUGGAAGUUGACGUUACCUUCAGAAGAAGCACCGGCUAACUCC
rnacentral:rRNA from 1 species